rnacentral:rRNA from 1 species
UAAGUCUUCGGAUUUAGAGACCGGCGCACGGGUGCGUAACGCGUGUGCAAUCUACCUUUCACAAAGGAAUAGCCCAGAGAAAUUUGGAUUAAUGCCUUAUAGUAUAACGAGUUCGCAUGGAUUUGUUAUUAAAGAUUUAUCGGUGAAAGAUGAGCAUGCGUCCCAUUAGCUUGUUGGUAAGGUAACGGCUUACCAAGGCUACGAUGGGUAGGGGUCCUGAGAGGGAGAUCCCCCACACUGGUACUGAGACACGGACCAGACUCCUACGGGAGGCAGCAGUGAGGAAUAUUGGACAAUGGGCGCAAGCCUGAUCCAGCCAUGCCGCGUGCAGGAUGACGGUCCUAUGGAUUGUAAACUGCUUUUGUACAGGAAGAAACACUCGGACGUGUCCGAGCUUGACGGUACUGUAAGAAUAAGGAUCGGCUAACUCCGUGCCAGCAGCCGCGGUAAUACGGAGGAUCCAAGCGUUAUCCGGAAUCAUUGGGUUUAAAGGGUCCGUAGGCGGUUUAAUAAGUCAGUGGUGAAAGCCCAUCGCUCAACGGUGGAACGGCCAUUGAUACUGUUAAACUUGAAUUAUUAGGAAGUAACUAGAAUAUGUAGUGUAGCGGUGAAAUGCUUAGAGAUUACAUGGAAUACCAAUUGCGAAGGCAGGUUACUACUAAUGGAUUGACGCUGAUGGACGAAAGCGUGGGUAGCGAACAGGAUUAGAUACCCUGGUAGUCCACGCCGUAAACGAUGGAUACUAGCUGUUGGGAGCAAUCUCAGUGGCUAAGCGAAAGUGAUAAGUAUCCCACCUGGGGAGUACGUUCGCAAGAAUGAAACUCAAAGGAAUUGACGGGGGCCCGCACAAGCGGUGGAGCAUGUGGUUUAAUUCGAUGAUACGCGAGGAACCUUACCAAGGCUUAAAUGUAGUUUGACCAAUUUGGAAACAGAUCUUUCGCAGACAAAUUACAGGUGCUGCAUGGUUGUCGUCAGCUCGUGCCGUGAGUGUCAGUAGUCCUAUACGAGCGCACCCCUGUGUAGUUGCCAGCGAGUC